ACCAAUCAACUAAAUAACUACAACCAAGCAAUCAAGUAAAGCAACCAAUCAACCAAAUAAGUAACCAACCAUCAAUCAAUCAACUAAUCCAGCAACCAACCAAUCAAGCAAGCUACCAAUCAAACAACUAACUAAUCAACCAAUCAACCAACAAGAUAAUCAACCAAAUAAGCAACCAACCAAUCAACCAUUCAAGCAACCAACAAAACAACUACUCAACUAGCCAGCCGACCAACCAUUCAAUCAACCAGUAAAGCAAACAAUCAACUAAUCCAGCAAUCAGCCAUUCAGGCAAGCUACCAAACAACCAAACAAUCAAGCAACCAACCAACUAAUAAUCAACCAAGCAACCAUUGAAGCAACCAACAAAACAACAUAUGAACUAACCAGCCGACCAACCAAUCAAUCAACCAGUCAAGCAACCAAUCAAUCAUAUAACCUGAUUGGUUUGUUGGAUUGGCAACCAACCAACAAUUAAGCAACCAACCAAUCAACCAUUCUUCCAACUAACAAAUCAAGCUGCAACCAACCAACCAAAUAACCAACGAAUCAAGCAACCAACCAUUCAAGCAAGCUACCAAUCAACUUAUUAACUAAUCAACCAAGCAACCAACAAAACAAAUAAUCAACUAACCAGCCGACUAACCAAUCAAUUAACCUGUCAAGCAGCCAACCAAUCAAUCAUACCAUACUACCAACUAACAAAUCAAGCAGCAGCCAACCAAAUAAUCAACCAACCAAUCAAGUAACCAACCAGUCAAACAAGCUACCAAUCUACCAAGCAAUCAAGCAACCAACCAACUAAUCAACCAAUCAAGCAACCAACCAACUAAUUAACCAAGCAAUCAGCAAAACAACUUAUCAACUACCUAACCAGCCGACCAACUAAUCAACCAAUCAACUAAAUAACCACAACCAAUCAAUCAACCAGUAAACCAACCAGUCAACCACUCAAGCAACCAACCAUUCAACCAUUAAUUUGUUUGUUUUUGAUGAGAUGAACAUCGGAGCCAUGAGUUAAAUCCAGGUCAAUAAUUGCUGGUGAUGACGAGGCUUCAACGCUGGCGUUUGCCCUAAAGACAGCAUUGCCAGCGGACGUUAAUGUAGCUGCUCCAUAGCAUUAAUCGCAUCUCUUGAUCUCCAACCGGGUUCUCGAGUGCUGCGAUUCCUGAUUGGGCUUAAAUUACGGUGAUAGUCGUCCUUGUUGGUAGUAUCUUGGAUCGGACCCGAUGAUCUUAAGAAGCUUGACCAGAUCACGCAGCAGAUUUCGGAUUCGAUUCGCGGUUACUCAACUGGGAUUACUGAUCCACAUCUACGUCAACUAGCUGGAUUGGCAGGUUAUGAGUGAGUGCAACAUCCUGAGUGCAACAACUUUUCGGUAGUGACUUUGGUUUUGGUUCCGUGUUGAGGCACAACAAAGUUCAAGUUCCGGAGGAAAUGGGCCACGCGCAACUCAUGUGGAUAAGGAACGUGCGCGCCUGGAGACCGCCUGUCCAGCUGUUUUCACGUACGGCCACAAUUCCUUCCUUGACCUGAAAACAGUUUUUAUUAAUAAUAAACCAAUAAAUCAUUAAUUUCAAAUUA